CCCUUUGAUACUCUGGGCGGCACGCGCGCUACAAUGGAUAACUUAACGUGUCACAUGUCCCAAAGGAUGUAUGCAAAUCACAAAUGUUAUGUCUCGAGUGGGAUAGUUUACUGCAAUUAUAGACUUGAACUAGGAAUCCCUUGUAGGUACACUGAAGCAUAGUGUACCGAAUACGUCCCUGCCGUUUGUACACACCGCCCGUCGCUACUACCGAUUGGGAAAAUUUUAGAGAGUCCUGGACUGAUGAUUGUUCGGCUUCACGGCCUUACUUUCGUCGGGAAAGAAUUCGAUAAUAUUUUUCUAGAGGAAGUAAAAGUCGUAACA
rnacentral:rRNA from 1 species